rnacentral:rRNA from 1 species
UACGGGGGGAGCAAGCGUUGUUCGGAUUUACUGGGCGUAAAGGGCGCGUAGGCGGCGCAACAAGUCACUUGUGAAAUCUCCGGGCUUAACCCGGAGCGGUCAAGUGAUACUGUCGUGCUAGAGUGCGGAAGGGGCUACUGGAAUUCUCGGUGUAGCGGUGAAAUGCGUAGAUAUCGAGAGGGAACACCCUGCGGGCGAAGGCGGGUAGCUGGGCCGACACUGACGCUGAUGCGCGAAAGCCAGGGGAGCGAACGGG